UCUCCCACUUCCCGGGGCUGGCGCACACGGGCCGGCCACAGCCGCCUCUCCCUGUCCCGGCUGCGGCAGCGGCAGCGGCAGCAGCGGCUGGGCCAGUGCCCGGAACCCCGCACGGCGUCCCUCCCAGCCUUCGGGGCCACGGCCACCGGCCCCCGCCGGCCCCCACCGGCCCUGCGGGGCGCGCACCUCCGGGACCCCGGCCCUCUUUCCCUUCCUCUCGCCCCGCAUCCUGGUCCGGGCUCCGCGGCGACCCCUCGGGGUGCGCGGGCCGGCGGACUGACGGUCGGGCGGCCGGCCAGCGAGCCAGACGGGACCAGGCGAGCGGGGACUGCCGUCGCGGGGCGAGCUCCGGGCCCCGCACCCAGACGCCCGCGCGCACGGCUGGCCGGCCGGGGCCCCCCGGGACCAUGAACAGCAGCAGCGCCAAAGGCGGCGGCGGAGGCGGUGGUGGAGGAGGCAGCAGCGACAAGGAGCCCAGCCCGAGCGACGGCGGCCUCCCGGAGGAAGAGGUCCGGACCCUCUUUGUCAGUGGUCUCCCUCUGGACAUCAAGCCUCGGGAACUUUAUCUGCUCUUCAGACCGUUUAAGGGCUACGAAGGCUCCCUAAUAAAGCUGACAUCAAAGCAGCCCGUCGGCUUUGUCAGUUUCGAUAGUCGGUCAGAAGCAGAAGCUGCUAAGAACGCGCUGAAUGGCAUUCGCUUCGAUCCUGAAAUUCCCCAGACGCUGCGACUAGAGUUUGCCAAGGCAAACACAAAGAUGGCAAAGAACAAACUCGUCGGGACCCCAAACCCCAGCACUCCUCUGCCCAGUACCGCCCCUCAGUUCAUCGCCAGGGAGCCAUAUGAGCUCACAGUGCCUGCACUUUAUCCCAGCACCCCCGAAGUGUGGGCCCCGUACCCUCUGUACCCAGCGGAGUUGGCGCCUGCUCUACCCCCUCCUGCUUUCACCUAUCCCGCUUCACUGCAUGCCCAGAUGCGCUGGCUCCCUCCCUCCGAGGCUACUUCUCAGGGCUGGAAGUCCCGUCAGUUCUGCUGAAUACUGUGUACCAGGUGUGUGAUGGCGGCUACACUUUGUCUUGUGGGUAUUGAUACAAUCUUCGGCAGUGGCUGCUGGUUUCGUGAGCUGUUUUGUAAGACUGCAGCUUACUGGCUUGAACGAAGCAUCACCUGGUUUUGAUUCCUCCAAGACUUUGCCACAGCCUCUAUCACACAUCUGUACUUAUCGAAGAAAAAGUAUAAUAAUAAAUAAAAAUGGUUUUUUCUCUUUUA